rnacentral:rRNA from 1 species
UACGAAGGGGGCUAGCGUUGCUCGGAAUCACUGGGCGUAAAGCGCACGUAGGCGGCUUUUUAAGUCAGGGGUGAAAUCCUGGAGCUCAACUCCAGAACUGCCUUUGAUACUGAGAAGCUUGAGUCCGGGAGAGGUGAGUGGAACUGCGAGUGUAGAGGUGAAAUUCGUAGAUAUUCGGAAGAACACCAGUGGCGAAGGCGACUCACUGGCCCGUUACUGACGCUGAGGCGCGAAAGCGUGGGGAGCAAACAGGG